AACGAACGCUGGCGGCAUGCCUAACACAUGCAAGUCGAACGAGACCUUCGGGUCUAGUGGCGCAUGUGUGCGUAACGCGUGGGAACCUGCCCUUAGGUUCGGAAUAACUCCCCGCAAGGGGUGCUAAUACCGGAUAAUGUCUUCGGACCAAAGAUUUAUCGCCUUCGUGUGUGCCCGCGUUGGAUUAGCUCGUUGGUAGGGUAAAAGCCUACCAAGGCGACGAUCCAUAGCUGGUCUGAGAGGAUGCUCAGCCACACUGGGACUGAGACACGGCCGAGACUCCUACGCGAGGCAGCAGUGGGGAAUAUUGGACAGUGGGGGAAAGCAUGAUAAACCAAUGACGCGUGAGUGAUGAAGGCGUUAGAGUUGUAAAGUGCAUUUAACCGGGAAGAUAAUGACAGUACCGGGAGAAUAAGCCCCGGCUAACUCCGUG
rnacentral:rRNA from 1 species